rnacentral:misc_RNA from 1 species
AUUAUUGAAUAUAAGGGCCAAUUUUAUGUUGUUGAUAGAUGGGGUACAGUUUCUUGGAUUGAUUCUUCCUUGAAGCUGAUUCAGUAUUCCCCUCCUUUGUUCGGUUGUGGUAGCGGGCAGAAGAAUUUGGUGGAGUCAUGUGGAGAUCUUUAUGUAGUUGAUAGAUAUCUGGAUGGAGAAAGGAGAACAUGGAAUGAUUAUGAGAAUCU